GAUGAACGCUGGCGGCGUGCCUAAUACAUGCAAGUCGAGCGAACGGACGAGAAGCUUGCUUCUCUGAUGUUAGCGGCGGACGGGUGAGUAACACGUGGAUAACCUACCUAUAAGACUGGGAUAACUUCGGGAAACCGUAGCUAAUACCGGAUAAUAUUUUGAACCGCAUGGUUCUAAAGUGAAAGACGGUCUUGCUGUCACUUAUAGAUGGAUCCGCGCUGCAUUAGCUAGUUGGUAAGGUAACGGCUUACCAAGGCAACGAUGCAUAGCCGACCUGAGAGGGUGAUCGGCCACACGGGAACUGAGACACGGUCCAGACUCCUACGGGAGGCAGCAGUAGGGAAUCUUCCGCAAUGGGCGAAAGCCUGACGGAGCAACGCCGCGUGAGUGAUGAAGGUCUUCGGAUCGUAAAACUCUGUUAUGAGGGAAGAACAUAUGUGUAAGUAACUGUGCACAUCUUGACGGUACCUAAUCAGAAAGCCACGGCUAACUACGUG
rnacentral:rRNA from 1 species